rnacentral:rRNA from 1 species
AUUGAACGCUGGCGGCAGGCCUAACACAUGCAAGUCGAGCGGAUGAAGGGAGCUUGCUCCUGGAUUCAGCGGCGGACGGGUGAGUAAUGCCUAUGAAUCUGCCUGGUAGUGGGGGAUAACGUCCGGAAACGGGCGCUAAUACCGCAUACGUCCUGAGGGAGAAAGUGGGGGAUCUUCGGACCUCACGCUAUCAGAUGAGCCUAGGUCGGAUUAGCUAGUUGGUGGGGUAAAGGCCUACCAAGGCGACGAUCCGUAACUGGUCUGAGAGGAUGAUCAGUCACACUGGAACUGAGACAAGGUCCAGCCUCCUAAGGGAGGCAGCAGUGGGGAAUAUUCGACAAUGGGCGAAAGCCUGAUCCAGCCAUGCCGCGUGUGUGAAGAAGGUCUUCGGAUUGUAAAGCACUUUAAGUUGGGAGGAAGGGCAGUAAGUUAAUACCUUGCUGUUUUGACGUUACCAACAGAAUAAGCACCGGCUAACUUCGUG